rnacentral:rRNA from 1 species
GAUGAACGCUAGCGGCAGGCUUAACACAUGCAAGUCGAGGGGUAUUGGUUUUCGGACCAAGAGACCGGCGCACGGGUGCGUAACGCGUAUGCAAUCUACCUUUUGCAGAGGGAUAGCCCCAGAGAAAUUUGGAUUAGUACCUCAUAGUAUAGUACUUUGGCAUCAAGGAACUAUUAAAGUCACAACGGCAAAAGAUGAGCAUGCGUCCCAUUAGCUAGUUGGUAAGGUAACGGCUUACCAAGGCUACGAUGGGUAGGGGUCCUGAGAGGGAGAUCCCCCACACUGGUACUGAGACACGGACCAGACUCCUACGGGAGGCAGCAGUGAGGAAUAUUGGACAAUGGGCGCAAGCCUGAUCCAGCCAUGCCGCGUGCAGGAUGACGGUCCUAUGGAUUGUAAACUGCUUUGUACAGGAAGAAACACUACUUCGUGAAGUAGCUUGACGGUACUGUAAGAAUAAGGAUCGGCUAAACUCCGUGCCAGCAGCCGACGG